UCUAAGCACAUGCCUUAAUACGGUGAAGCCGCGAAUAGCUCAUUACAACAGCCAUCGUUUAUUAGAAUAUCGUUAUCCUACUUGGAUAACUGUGGCAAUUCUAGAGCUAAUACAUGCAAUAAAGCUCUGCCCGCAAGGAACGAGCGCAUUUAUUAGAAUAAAAACCAAUCGAGCUUCGGUUCGUAAUUUGGUGAAUCUGAAUAACUUUGCCAAUCGCACAGUCCUAGUACUGGCGAUGUAUCUUUCAAGUGUCUGCCUUAUCAACUUUCGAUGGUACGCUAUACGCCUACCAUGGUAGUAACGGGUAACGGAGAAUAAGGGUUCGACUCCGGAGAGGGAGCCUGAGAAACGGCUACCACAUCCAAGGAAGGCAGCAGGCGCGCAAAUUACCCACUUCCAGAACGGAGAGGUAGUGACGAAAAAUAACGAGACAGUCCUCUUUGAGGUCUGUCAUCGGAAUGGGUACAAUUUAAA
rnacentral:rRNA from 1 species